rnacentral:lncRNA from 1 species
CUCUUUUAUGUGGUAUCACUCAUGUAACUCUUGUAACUCAUGAAAAAUCAAAGUCAUUGAUCUUCCCUCUUUACUACCAUCAUUCAUUCUUCCUGAUCAUUGCACAGAAGAUUUCUUCACCUAUAAAUAGAGGGAGUCUUGUAUGAUUUUGGUACACAAACAUACACAAGAUAUUAUAGAGUUCACAAAAAAGUUAGUAAAAAAAAGAGUUUGUUAGUUGAAGAGAGGUGUUCUUUUGUGGAGCUUUGAACUCAACUCUUGUCCAGAGUUGUUGUGAGAAGGUUAUUGUAUCCUAGGGGACAAGUAAAGAAGAUUACUACUGGACCGGUGAAACAUUUUGCUGCAGUGGACUUGAAUCUCUUUAAGGAGAGCGAGAUAUCCGCGCCUCAGCCAAAGAAGAAGAAGAUAUUUUUUUUUUAUUUUCUUCACUUGUAAUUUUUAGUUGUAUUUUUAUUAUAAUUUCACCAAUAAUUUUAAGAAGAUUCAAUGGCAACAACUGAAAAAUUCGCGGAUAUCAAGAUAGG